rnacentral:rRNA from 1 species
GUGGGGAAUAUUGGACAAUGGGCGAAAGCCUGAUCCAGCCAUGCCGCGUGAGUGACGAAGGUCUUCGGAUUGUAAAGCUCUUUUGGCGGGGACGAUAAUGACGGUACCCGCAGAAUAAGCCCCGGCUAACUUCGUGCCAGCAGCCGCGGUAAUACGAAGGGGGCUAGCGUUGUUCGGAAUUACUGGGCGUAAAGCGCACGUAGGCGGACUUAUAAGUCAGGGGUGAAAUCCCGGGGCUCAACCUCGGAACUGCCUUUGAUACUGUAAGUCUCGAGACCGGAAGAGGUGAGUGGAAUUCCUAGUGUAGAGGUGAAAUUCGUAGAUAUUAGGAAGAACACCAGUGGCGAAGGCGGCUCACUGGUCCGGUUCUGACGCUGAGGUGCGAAAGCGUGGGGAGCAAACAGGAUUAGAAACCCCUGUAGUCC